GUGGACAUCGCUGGCUGGGCAGCAUUUAUUGUUCAUCCUUAAUUGCCCUGAGGAUAGUUCAGAGUCAACCACAUUGCUGUGGGUCUGAAGUCACAUGUAUGCCAGACCGGACGAUAUAAUGGAAUAAAGUGGACAGUACUUUGAAGAUACUAAACUCAAUAAGGAGAAGAAAAGUCAGAAAGACCAAGCCCUGGACUGCCAGAGCAACAAUGAAGCGGCCAACUCCAGGAGAUUCCCAGGCUAAGUAAUCAGUCUGGUAGGUGAUGUCUGCAAAACAUCAACGACGGGCAAGAUAAAUGCUGGAGACAACGAAGUACCAAACAUUAAAGGAUGGAUGCAAGCCAUCCAUAGAUCGUUUUGUUGCAUAAAGAAAUGCUAACAGAUCCCAGAGAAGAGACACAGAUGGAUACAGAGUGCUUAUAAAAGCAGAUAGAGUCAUAUAGAUACACAGCACAGAAACAAAUCCUUUGAUCCAACUCGUCCAUGUCAACCAGAUAUCCUAAAUAAAUCUAGUCCAAUUUGUUAGCAUUUGGUCACAUCUCACUAAACUCUUCCUAUUCAUAUACCCAUCCAGAUGCCUUUUAAAAGUUGUAACUGUACCAGCCUCCACCACUUCUUCUGGAAGUUCAUUCUAUAUACGCACCACCCUCUGCCUAAAAACGUUGCCCCUUAGGCCACUUUUAAAUCU